rnacentral:pre_miRNA from 1 species
GCGUUCGAAAGGAGGCUCUCUUCAGCCCAGCAAAGGAUUUUUGGCUGCUCGAAACAGCUGCCGUCUCAUUGAUUCACCAACUCCCUCUUUACACACAGACGAGACGAGUGGGUUGAUGUGUGAAUGAUGCGGGAGCUGAUUUCGUCCGGGAAAUGUCUUUUCUUGGACUGAAGGGAGCUCCCUCAGGUAGUAUA